UACGUGAGGGGCGAACGUUGUUCGGUGUCACUGGGCUUAAAGGGCGCGUAGGUGGUUGCGUAAGUAACGUGUGAAAUCCCUCGGCUUACCCGGGGAAUUGCGCGUUAUACUGCGUGACUUGAGGAUCUCAGGGGAAGGGGGAACUCCAGGUGUAGCGGUGAAAUGCGCAGAUAUCUGGGGGAAGGCCGGCGGCGAAGGCGCCCUUCUGGGAGAUUCCUGACACUGAGGCGCGAAAGCGUGGGGAGCAAACAGG
rnacentral:rRNA from 1 species